rnacentral:lncRNA from 1 species
UGUAUUCUAUUUGUAGUCAGGUUACUAUAUCAUGAUAUUACAAUUAGUAAAUUGACAUAUUGGGUAAGUUAUAAUAGUUGACAUAAAAUGUCAUUAUUCUGGAUUACAUGAUUUUGUGCCAUAAAUAAUAUAUUUGACAAAGUAAUGUCAUAGGACAUCAUCAUGUCCAGCGUCACUAGUUGAAAGAAUGAUCAACAGUGAUAUGACCAAAGACACUAGUUGAGAGAAUGAUCAACAGUGUUAUAAUUAGAAUCACUAGUUGAAAGAAUGAUCAACAGUGAUAUAACCAGAGUCACUACCAAUGAGUGAUAUUAUUGCUGUUAUAUUGGAACUGCCAUCAUGUGACAAAAUACUGAUUGAGUGGGGUAAAUACAAAUAAAUAUAAAAACCUUAAUACUGUAAGGUAUAACAAUAUAUUUUAUAAAAAUGGAAUGAUCUCACUCAGUAUUUUCCACUGACAAAACCUUUUUCAAACAUGUUUCAGGUAAUUACCAUAGAUUGGAAUAAAGGCUAGAUACGGCACUGAAAGGCAUCAAGAAGUGGUUUAUUUUAAUCAAAUUAAGAAAUAUUGUUUUAUAAAAUAAAAUUUAUCUUUAUUAAAGCUACCAUUGUAAAACAGGGGUUUAUCCCAUUUAAAUCAAAUCUGGUGUUUUAUAAACUCUGAUAUUUUUCCUAACUC